GAUGAACGCUAGCGGCAGGCUUAACACAUGCAAGUCGAGGGGUAUAGUUCUUCAGAACUAGAGACCGGCGCACGGGUGCGUAACGCGUAUGCAAUCUACCUUUUGCAGAGGGAUAGCCCAGAGAAAUUUGGAUUAAAUACCUCAUAGUAUGUGAGAAUGGCAUCAUUUUCACAUUAAAGUCACAACGGCAAAAGAUGAGCAUGCGUCCCAUUAGCUUGUUGGUAAGGUAACGGCUUACCAAGGCUAUGAUGGUAGGGGUCCUGAGAGGAGGAUCCCCCACCACUGGUACUGAGACACGGACCAGACUCCUACGGAGGCAGCAGUGAGGAAUAUUGGACAAUAGG
rnacentral:rRNA from 1 species